rnacentral:snoRNA from 1 species
AUCCUUUUGUAGUUCAUGAGCAUGAUGACUGGGUUUUCACGCACUUGUGUGACAAGUGUCUCCCUCAAACCUUGUUGUAACAUCAGCACAUUACCUCUGACA